ACAAGGCUCUUAUUCAGGUCGACAAUUAGAUUGAUAGCAAGGAGAUCUUUGAUGUCUGGGAAAAUGCUAACUGAUUCCUUUUCAUGGUUCUGGUAAUUCGUAUGUUUUGCUUCCUGAAGCCCUUUUUCGUGAGUGCUAUGUUCCUGCAGUGCAUUAAAAUUACUGGAUUCUUGUACUACUUCCUCGGGGUUGUCAUGGUCGUCUUCGACUUGAAUGUGAUGACACUUGUAGUAGAUAAUUGGAUAGUUACAUUUUUUGUUCUUUUUUCCUUUUAACUUUUAUCUUCCAAUAACAGUUCAAUUAAAAAAAAGGGUAUUUAAUCUUAGUGUUUUUUCCCUUUAAUUUAUUGCUAUAAAGAUUCACUUCUUGUUGAAAAGAUUGAUCGUGUAUUAUGUGGUUAUCAAUUGAAUAUAUUUCUUUGCUCUCAUUGUUCCAAAAAACAACCAUAGUUUAGAAAAAACAAACAUAGUUCAGCUGCAGAUAGAAAGUGCUUGGAGAAUGACAAAUAUGUGGAUUUAAUGAAUCUUUUAUCAACACACAAGAAGCUUGUUGCAGAGAAGCAAAGCAGUCAAACGGAAGGUUAAACGAAAAGAAAAAGGGUCAAAUAUUUGGUAAUCUGUGUGUUUUCAUUAAUUUAUAAAUGUAUUGAACAAGUUUAUUCUUUUCAGUGUAUUAAUGUGUCUUGUUCUAAGCUUUGACAUCUAUGCAAAAGACAAGACAAAAGGAACAUGUGAAGCCUGCAUUUUUUUUAACUCUAUGGAAAAGACAUUGACAGGAGUUGCAACAAAGCGAGUGUUGAGCAGGGAAUGAUGUAAACCAGGCAGGAUGCAAAAGUUCUUUUGGAUAUGACAAAAGAAAUGAUUGCUCAAACCAUCCCCAGGAGUUUCUUCGCUUAUAACAUAAACUGACAAGUAUGGUUGUUGUUACAAUUGAUUUGUGCUUGCUUAUCAUACUACUUUUUUAUCAACAUAACUUACAAUAUCUAUUCUGAUAAACCUUGGACCAAAACUCAAAGGAGUAAAAAUAAAAUAACGGAAUGUCAAUUAGUAUAUCGAUUUAAAUCUC